GUCGAACACAUUGACCUAUUCCCCAGUUCUCUGAUACAUAGAAGAUUAGCAUGGCACCUGUGCAAGGAUCACACAUACAAAUCGAGAUAUGUGUAACAUCCUG